rnacentral:rRNA from 1 species
AUGCACGCUGGCGGCGUGCCUAAUACAUGCCAGUCGAGCGAACAGACGAGGAGCUUGCUCCUCUGACGUUAGCGGCGGACGGGUGAGUAACACGUGGAUAACCUACCUAUAAGACUGGGAUAAUUUCGGGAAACCGGAGCUAAUACCGGAUAACAUGUUGAACCGCAUGGUUCAACAGUGAAAGACGGUCUUGCUGUCACUUAUAGAUGGAUCCGCGCCGCAUUAGCUAGUUGGUAAGGUAACGGCUUACCAAGGCAACGAUGCGUAGCCGACCUGAGAGGGUGAUCGGCCACACUGGAACUGAGACACGGUCCAGACUCCUACGGGAGGCAGCAGUAGGGAAUCUUCCGCAAUGGGCGAAAGCCUGACGGAGCAACGCCGCGUGAGUGAAGAAGGUCUUCGGAUCGUAAAACUCUGUUAUUAGGGAAGAACAAAUGUGUAAGUAACUAUGCACGUCUUGACGGUACCUAAUCAGAAAGCCACGGCUAACUACGUG